CCAUAAAAUUGCCAUUGAUACUGUUGUUCUUGAGUUAUUGUGAAGUGGUUAGAAUGUGUAGUGUAGCGGUGAAAUGCAUAGAUAUUACACAGAACACCAAUUGCGAAGGCAUAUCACUAACAAUAUACUGACGCUGAUGAACGAAAGCGUAGGUAGCCAACAGGAUUAGAUACCCUGGUAGUCUACGCUGUAAACGAUGGUUACUAGCUGUUCGUCACGCCUUAGGCGAGAUGAGUGGUUAAGCGAAAGUGAUAAGUAACCCACCUGGGGAGUACGUUUGCAAGAAUGAAACUCAAAGGAAUUGACGGGGGCCCGCACAAGCGGUGGAGCAUGUGGUUUAAUUCGAUGAUACGCGAGGAACCUUACCAAGGCUUAAAUGCAUAUUGACGAUUCACGAAAGUGGAUUUUCUUCGGACAAUUUGCAAGGUGCUGCAUGGUUGUCGUCAGCUCGUGCCGUGAGGUGUCAGGUUAAGUCCUAUAACGAGCGCAACCCCUGUGGUUAGUUACCAGCAUGUAAUGAUGGGGACUCUAGCCAGACUGCCGGUGCAAACCGUGAGGAAGGUGGGGAUGACGUCAAAUCAUCACGGCCCUUACGCCUUGGGCUACACACGUGCUACAAUGGUAUAUACAAUGAGCAGCCAUCUGGCGACAGAGCGCUAAUCUAUAAAGUAUAUCACAGUUCGAAUCGGAGUCUGCAACUCGACUCUGUGAAGCUGGAAUCGCUAGUAAUCGCACAUCAGCCAUGGUGCGGUGAAUACGUUCCCGGGCCUUGUACACACCGCCCGU
rnacentral:rRNA from 1 species